GAUGAACGCUGGCGGCGUGCCUAAUACAUGCAAGUCGGGCGAACAGACGAGGAGCUUGCUCCUCUGACGUUAGCGGCGGACGGGUGAGUAACACGUGGAUAACCUACCUAUAAGACUGGGAUAACUUCGGGAAACCGGAGCUAAUACCGGAUAAUAUAUUGAACCGCAUGGUUCAAUAGUGAAAGACGGUUUUGCUGUCACUUAUAGAUGGAUCCGCGCCGCAUUAGCUAGUUGGUAAGGUAACGGCUUACCAAGGCGACGAUGCGUAGCCGACCUGAGAGGGGGAUCGGCCACACUGGAACUGAGACACGGUCCAGACUCCUACGGGAGGCAGCAGUAGGGAAUCUUCCGCAAUGGGCGAAAGCCUGACGGAGCAACGCCGCGUGAGUGAUGAAGGUCUUCGGAUCGUAAAACUCUGUUAUUAGGGAAGAACAAAUGUGUAAGUAACUAUGCACGUCUUGACGGUACCUAAUCAGAAAGCCACGGCUAACUACGUG
rnacentral:rRNA from 1 species